rnacentral:rRNA from 1 species
UUAGCGGCGGACGGGUGAGUAACACGUGGAUAACCUACCUAUAAGACUGGGAUAACUUCGGGAAACCGGAGCUAAUACCGGAUAAUAUUUUGAACCGCAUGGUUCAAAAGUGAAAGACGGUCUUGCUGUCACUUAUAGAUGGAUCCGCGCUGCAUUAGCUAGUUGGUAAGGUAACGGCUUACCAAGGCAACGAUGCAUAGCCGACCUGAGAGGGUGAUCGGCCACACUGGAACUGAGACACGGUCCAGACUCCUACGGGAGGCAGCAGUAGGGAAUCUUCCGCAAUGGGCGAAAGCCUGACGGAGCAACGCCGCGUGAGUGAUGAAGGUCUUCGGAUCGUAAAACUCUGUUAUUAGGGAAGAACAUAUGUGUAAGUAACUGUGCACAUCUUGACGGUACCUAAUCAGAAAGCCACGGCUAACUACGUGCCAGCAGCCGCGGUAAUACGUAGGUGGCAAGCGUUAUCCGGAAUUAUUGGGCGUAAAGCGCGCGUAGGCGGUUUUUUAAGUCUGAUGUGAAAGCCCACGGCUCAACCGUGGAGGGUCAUUGGAAACUGGAAAACUUGAGUGCAGAAGAGGAAAGUGGAAUUCCAUGUGUAGCGGUGAAAUGCGCAGAGAUAUGGAGGAACACCAGUGGCGAAGGCGACUUUCUGGUCUGUAACUGACGCUGAUGUGCGAAAGCGUGGGGAUCAAACAGGAUUAGAUACC